GACGAACGCUGGCGGCGUGCCUAAUACAUGCAAGUUGAGCGCUGAAGGUUGGUACUUGUACCAACUGGAUGAGCAGCGAACGGGUGAGUAACGCGUGGGGAAUCUGCCUUUGAGCGGGGGACAACAUUUGGAAACGAAUGCUAAUACCGCAUAAAAACUUUAAACACAAGUUUUAAGUUUGAAAGAUGCAAUUGCAUCACUCAAAGAUGAUCCCGCGUUGUAUUAGCUAGUUGGUGAGGUAAAGGCUCACCAAGGCGAUGAUACAUAGCCGACCUGAGAGGGUGAUCGGCCACAUUGGGACUGAGACACGGCCCAAACUCCUACGGGAGGCAGCAGUAGGGAAUCUUCGGUAAUGGACGAAAGUCUGACCGAGCAACGCCGCGUGAGUGAAGAAGGUUUUCGGAUCGUAAAACUCUGUUGGUAGAGAAGAACGUUUGGUGAGAGUGGAAAGCCCAUCAAGUGACGGUAACUACCCAGAAAGGGACGGCUAACUACGUG
rnacentral:rRNA from 1 species